rnacentral:rRNA from 1 species
UGGGGAAUUUUGGACAAUGGGCGCAAGCCUGAUCCAGCCAUGCCGCGUGCGGGAAGAAGGCCUUCGGUUGUAAACCGCUUUUGUCAGGGAAGAAAUCUUCUGAGUUAAUACCUCGGGAGGAUGACGGUACCUGAAGAAUAAGCACCGGCUAACUACGUGCCAGCAGCCGCGGUAAUACGUAGGGUGCAAGCGUUAAUCGGAAUUACUGGGCGUAAAGCGUGCGCAGGCGGUUUUGUAAGACAGAGGUGAAAUCCCCGGGCUCAACCUGGGAACUGCCUUUGUGACUGCAAGGCUUGAGUGCGGCAGAGGGGGGAUGGAAUUCCGCGUGUAGGCAGUGGAAAAUUGCGUAGAUAUGCGGAGGAAACACCGAUGGCGAAGGCAAUCCCCCUGGGCCUGCACUGACGCUCAUGCACGAAAAGCGU